GAUAAACGCUGGCGGCGCACAUAAGACAUGCAAGUCGAACGGAAGUCGUUAUAAAAAGAGAGAAGAUUUAUCGGAUUGAGUUUUAUAACAAUGGCUUUAGUGGCGGACUGGUGAGUAACGCGUAAGGAACCUACCUAUUAGAGGGGAACAACAAUGAGAAAUCAUUGCUAAUACCGCAUAUACCAUAACUGCCGCAUGGUAGAAGUGGGAAAGGAGUAAUCCGCUGAUAGAUGGCCUUGCGUCUGAUUAGUUAGUUGGUGGGGUAACGGCCUACCAAGACGACGAUCAGUAGCCGGACUGAGAGGUUGAACGGCCACAUUGGGACUGAGAUACGGCCCAG
rnacentral:rRNA from 1 species